GUGCUCGCUUCAGCAGCACAGAUGCUUAAAAAAGAAUGAUGCAGAGAAGAUCAGCAUGACCCCUCUGCAAGGAUGGCACACAAAUUCAUGAACUGUUCCAUUAAAAA
ensembl:snRNA U6 U6 spliceosomal RNA